rnacentral:rRNA from 1 species
AAACCGUUGAAAGGGAAGCGAAUGGAGUUAGCAAUUCGCCCCGCCAGAUUCAGUUGCUCGCACGUCGCGACGUGCGCGCUCUCGAUCCGCAUGGACGAGACGUGUGCGGGUGCGACGUGCGGUCUGCGCACUUCUGGCGAGCGAGCGUCAGCGUCGGUUGUCGACGGGCGACAAGGACGCGGGGAAGGUGGGCUGGCCUUCACGGCCGGUUGUUACAGCCCCGUGCUCGCAUAGCUCGACGGCGACCGUGGCUCGGCGACGCGUGCCUGGCUGGUGACUCGAACGAUCGGUCCGGCAUGUCGACCGUGGCGGACGGCACGCCUGUGCGCUCAAACCGCUGCCGGUCGAUCGGACGGUGUUCACACACUACGCGUCAAAGAUGCUGACGGCCAUACGGCUCCAUCCGACCCGUCUUGAAACACGGACCAAGGAGUCUAACAUGUGCGCGAGUCUCCGGGUGAUCGAAACCCGUGGGCACAAUGAAAGUAAAGAUCGUCCUAGACGAUUGAGGUGAGAAGCGAACGCCCCGGCGCUCGCGGCAUCAUCGACCGACCUAUUCUGCUCUCAGAAAGGUUUGAGUAAGAGCGUAUCUGUUGGGACCCGAAAGAUGGUGAACUAUGCCUGAAUAGGGUGAAGCCAGCGGAAACACUGG